CCGCAAGGGCAACCGGCGAACGGGUGCGUAACACGUGAGCAACCUACCUCGAUGUGGGGGAUAGCCGGCCCAACGGCCGGGUAAUACCGCAUACGAUUCUUUGGGGGAGUCCCCAGGGAAGGAAACCUCCGGGGCAUUGAGAGGGGCUCGCGGCCUAUCAGCUAGUUGGCGAGGUAACGGCUCACCAAGGCGACGACGGGUAGCUGGUCUGAGAGGAUGGCCAGCCACAUUGGGACUGAGAGACGGCCCAGACUCCUACGGGAGGCAGCAGUGGGGAAUCUUGCGCAAUGGCCGAAAGGCUGACGCAGCGACGCCGCGUGUGGGAUGAAGCAUUUCGGU
rnacentral:rRNA from 1 species